UCUCGGAUAGCUUAACUGGUAGAGCCCUUGACGCGUAACCAAAGGAUUCGGGUUUGAUUCCCGGCUUGAGCC
rnacentral:tRNA from 1 species